GACGCAUACGGGGCUUGCCCUGUAUGACGGAGCGGCGAACGGGUGAGUAACACGUGAGCAACCUGCCCCGAAGACCGGGAUAGCCCGAGGAAACUCGGAUUAAUACCGGAUACCUUCCCACCUCCGCAUGGGGGAGUGAAGAAAUGCCUUUGUGCUUCGGGAUGGGCUCGCGGCCUAUCAGCUAGUUGGUGAGGUAACAGCUCACCAAGGCGUCGACGGGUAGCUGGUCUGAGAGGACGAUCAGCCACACUGGGACUGAGACACGGCCCAGACUCCUACGGGAGGCAGCAGCAGGGAAUAUUGCACAAUGGGCGAAAGCCUGAUGCAGCGACGCCGCGUGCGGGAUGAAGGCCUUCGGGUUGUAAACCGCUUUCAGGAGGGACGAAAAUGACGGUACCUCCAGAAGAAGGCCCGGCCAACUACGUGCCAGCAGCCGCGGUAAUACGUAGGGGCCAAGCGUUGUCCGGAUUUAUUGGGCGUAAAGGGCUCGUAGGCGGUUCAGUAAGUCAAUCGUGAAAUGUCGGGGCUCAACCCCGAGACUGCGGUCGAAACUGCUAUGACUAGGGUCCGGUAGAGGUGAGUGGAAUUCUCGGUGUAGCGGUGAAAUGCGCAGAUAUCGAGAGGAACACCAGUAGCGAAGGCGGCUCACUGGGCCGGUACCGACGCUGAGGAGCGAAAGCGUGGGGAGCAAACAGGAUUAGAUACCCUGGUAGUCCACGCCGUAAACGUUGAACACUAGGUGUGGCGGACUUAUCCACGUCUGCCGUGCCGACGCUAACGCAUUAAGUGUUCCGCCUGGGG
rnacentral:rRNA from 1 species